AAUAUGAAAUUAACCUAUGUAAUAAGGUGUGUGUGUGUGUGUGUGACACACCAGUACUUGACAGGACUAGUAUAUAGUGUGGCUUGAGCCAGAGGGUAGAGAAGAAAACCUUGGAGGUUGCUUAAAGUUGACUGUUUUUUCCAUUGACAAUUAGUAGGCCCUGAGAAUCCACUGUCUGACCCAUUCAAGUGUUGAAACUAAAGAUUCAUGAGGAAAUGGCUGGCGGCUUUUGAUUGUUCUUGUUUAUACUCUUCUUUUUAAAAUAAGGAGUGUAGUUUCUUCCCAUACUCCACCAUAUAAAUGUGGUGGAUAUAAGCGAAGAGUUUCACUGCUUUUAAGAGCAAAAACCCGUGGCAUGUAAAGACGGUUUCAAUCAGCCUAGGAAAGGAAACUUUUUCUCACUGGGGGAAUCCACACUUGUUUCAUCAGUGUCAGUAUCACAGGUUAAAUGACUGUCCAGGAGCCCGUAAGUAAACCCACUAACAAGCUUGUUGUUUUUCUUUUUCAACAAAUCAGAGCUCCCUCAUGAUGGUCCUUCCAGGCCUCCAGGCAGAUAGCAGCUCUCUUACCUUUUUCCUGGUGCCGAUGUGCACCACUGAACAUCUUGCUCUCCAGUCAAACUGUCAGCAUCUUGCCGCAUCUCUGUCUGCUGCCACCAUUACGUGAGGCUCAUUUACUGAGGACAAAUUAAGUUUGUGUGGGCAGCCAAAGAGCUCAGAGGUGCUCGAUCAACGUGGGAGGCGGAGGAGCAGGCGCAUGCGCAGGAGCAAUCAGGCUUCCAGUUUGCCAGAUAAUUGCCCUCAGAAGAUCCCCAGAAGCUAUGAAAAGUGAAAGGAAGGCUGCUACAGAGUUCCCAGCAUUUUUUUGUUUUUCUUCCAAGUCUCCAAACACAGGCUUUGUAAAUAAAGAACUGAGGUCUUGACAAUAGAUUACUCUAAAGUAGUGUUUAGUGCUCCCAGUUUCAUGUAAUCUGUCUCUGCGGUUCCAAAGGAUUUGGGAGGCCCCUUAGGCCGUCUUGGGACUGCUUGCUGGAUUUCUGCUGCCCUGGUCUAGCUUUGCAGGAAUGCCUUAGCGUGAACCUAGACUUGAACUUUAUCUGUCCUUUUGCUCCACACUUUAUUGAAGAAUCAUAAAUUGGUUCAAACCUCAACCAGAAUAAAAUACUCAGCCAUUAAAUGAGAAACGGUUAACAGAUAUAAAAUCAUAGCUAGAUAGGAAAAAUAAGUUCUAGUGUUCUAUGGUAGUGCUAGGCAUCUAUAAUUAACAAUAAUUUAUUGUAUGUUCUCAAAGGGCUAGAAGAGAGUUCAAAUGCUGUCAUCAAAAAAAUGACAAAUUGUUGCAAUGAUGCAUUGUAUACUUGUAUUGAAAUGUAACUGUAUUCCAUUUUAAAAAAGGAGUUUAUGACUCAUGCAAAAAUAUAUGUCAGAAGACAUGCAAGUUUCCUGUGUGUUUUAAUGAAAAGGCUCUAUGCAAGAGUGUGGUACACUGAGUUACUGCAUAGUAAAAGGGUUAUAUGAAAAACCUUUGGGAAACUUCCUCUACAAAAACUCAAGGCCGGUCAGCUAAACUAUGUGGAUCCAGCUACUGGCUAUGUGGUGCUCACACAGCUUGCCCACUUGCAGAGAGGUGAAUGCUGUGGCUGUGCCUGCAGACAUGCGCUCUUUCCUCCUCCCAGUGCACUUCCUGCAGUAGGGAACUGGCUAAAGAAGAAAGGACGUCCAUCACGGGCUACCCUACAUGAGACGUUCGUGAUUCUUCCUAGCAGAACUUCAAGCCUUGCUGGCAACAAUAGCAAAGGAACUGCUGGGGGUGUGGGGUGGAGAGACGCGCUUACUCCUUCUUGCACCUGGAGCCAGGAGCCAAGGUCUGAAGUUCACUGUGGUUCUGUAGAGAUGAAUGUGAACCACACAUCAGGGGUGGCAGCUCCCACAUUAAACACAAUAUGACCACAUAAAUGGGCCUCACUGCAAGAGCUUUAAGCUAUAUUGUAUUCACACAUUGUAAAGUAAAAAUU